rnacentral:lncRNA from 1 species
CAACCUAUUAAUUAUGAUUUAAAGACAUAUUGUGCAUUAUAACUUACCUUAAGAAAUAAAUUGCAAACACUUGACAGUAUGACUUAAUCUUUUCAUGAUAUGUAAACAUGAAAACUAAGGAACUAAGCUUAGUCCAUGCAUGCAUGGACGAAGGUAACUAACGUUACUUAGUCCAUGCUUGCAUGGACUAACACAACAGACUUAGUCCAUGCAUGCAUGGACGAAGGC